CAGACCUGUUGUAGAGACAAAGCGGAAGAAAGAUGGAUUGCACAGAAAUUGGAUUGUAGAGACAUAGACUUUACUGACAGGAGUUACAGACGAAUAUUAUGCAGUAUGGAUUAUUUAGAUGCGGGUUGUGUAGUGUAGACACUGGCCCUGAAGGCUUAGGUUAUGUGGACUCAGCCUGUAACAAACUCUUCAGCCCUGGCCUUGGGGCAGGUUGUACAGCAUGAGCCCAGUGACAGCAGCCAGGUCAUGUGCCAGGGAGGGACCUCGAUGUCUGCACACAGGGUCACGGCAGGAGGUUGGCUCUGAGUACUGGCUUUGGAGCUUUCCUUCCAAUGCCACCCCCACCCCCAAGACACUUGGGAAAUCACUUCUUUCUCUCUUUUCCUUGGUGCUCAGAACAGAGAAAAUGCUCCUGGCACUGCCACCAAUAGGAUCCACUCACUAACUCAUUCACUAAGCAUUUACCAAGGUGUCUACGCCCUGCCAGGCUGACCCGGAGGCAGCCGUGCCGUAAGGACCUCAGAGGCUGGUAGGGGAGACAGGUGCACACACCUUCUCUGACACUGGGCAGGAAGAACUGAGAGCUAUGGUGAAAGGCCAGGAUGGAGCCCAGAGGAGGGUACAAUUCAUCCCUGGGGGGCCAGGGAUGGCUUGACGAAGGAGAGCAUUUGAGGUUGUCCUUGAAGGAUAAACAGGAUGAUGAGCGGUAAGAUAGGGAAAGGUAUUCUAAGAAGAAAGGGCCAGAAAAGCCAAGGCAUGGAGGCCUGAAAGCCUCUGGGCUGCUGGGGAGCAGAGGGGAGCAGAUGAGCGUCGAUACAAGGCGGGGAGUAGGGCAUGCCAUGGAACUGAAGCUGGACAGGAACAAAGCUCCGCCUUUCGUCUCACCACUUGAAGUCGAGAUCUCAGUCGGGGAAAGCAGCACGGCUGUUUAGGGGCCUCCCUCAAGCUCUCGUAGGCGCAAGGUGAAGGAGCAGGAGCAGAGAAGCUGGGCCAUGAGCCCUCCAGCCCCCGUCCUGGAGCCGCCCGACGGGCAGGGCCAAGCCUCAGGAAAAGCGAUCGGGAAUUGCAAUUUCUUCCCUUCGUGUUCAGAGUCCAGUUCAUCAGCAAGGCCAGAAGCAUGACAGCUCCUCCCUCUUUCCCACCAUGACCUCGGUGGGCCUUCUCCAGGGGAGGAGAGGCCUUCCACCAAGACGGCCACCUGCCUGCGGAGAGCCCGGUGGAGCAAGAAGCAAAGGGGGGCGCACCCCAGAAGCUGCCCCUCUGGCACAGACGGGGCACCCCGGGAAGAAUCCCUGUACAACACCUCAGAGCCUCCUGGCCUCCUUCAGCCCUGCUCCAUCACUAAGAGGAGUCUGGGAGCGUGGGCUGCGUGGUGGGACACAGAGCGAUCCUGGGUCCUGCCUACGAACGGUUUCAGGUGAUCAUGCAAACUCUUGGGGCCAAACGCCCCACUCUGCUUCGAGGUCCCCUGUCCCUUCUGGGGCUUCUGGGGGACCAUGGGUGCCUUCCGCAUUCUUGCCCUGAAGAACAUCAAACUGCAGAGGAACAUUCGGUGGCACAAAGCCUGC
rnacentral:lncRNA from 1 species